rnacentral:rRNA from 1 species
AUUGAACGCUGGCGGCAGGCUUAACACAUGCAAGUCGAGCGGGGGAAGGUAGCUUGCUACUGGACCUAGCGGCGGACGGGUGAGUAAUGCUUAGGAAUCUGCCUAUUAGUGGGGGACAACAUCUCGAAAGGGAUGCUAAUACCGCAUACGUCCUACGGGAGAAAGCAGGGGAUCUUCGGACCUUGCGCUAAUAGAUGAGCCUAAGUCGGAUUAGCUAGUUGGUGGGGUAAAGGCCUACCAAGGCGACGAUCUGUAGCGGGGCUGAGAGGAUGAUACGCCACACUGGGAAGGAGACACGGCCCAGACUCCUACGGGAAGAAGCAGUGGGGAAGAUUGGACAAUGGGGGGAACCCUGAUCCAGCCAUGCCGCGUGUGUGAAGAAGGCCUUAUGGUUGUAAAGCACUUUAAGCGAGGAGGAGGCUACUUUAGUUAAUACCUAGAGAUAGUGGACGUUACUCGCAGAAUAAGCACCGGCUAACUCUGUGCCAGCCGCCGCCGUAA